rnacentral:lncRNA from 1 species
GCCACAUGUGUGGCCAGGGUUCACUUGGGACAGGAGAGCCUGGGCACCACCACGGCGGGAGGAAGAAGGGAAUCCCCAAGCCUUGGGAACAACUGCUGGGGACCUCAUAGCCUGCUUCCCCAUCAGGAGUUGCACACAGCAAUGGGUAAGACCCACUCAUGAGUGGGAACAGAUUCUGGCCUCCAUGGGCCCUGCCCACAGCAGGAACCAAGUGAAUAAGAGCGGCAUGGUUCCAGGACACCUGCAAGGGGAGUGGAGGGACGUCUUGAGUAUCUUGUCCAGGUGAUGUCACAAAGGAGAGAUACCAAGGCCAAGGGAGAGGACCCCAGCGGAUGCCAAGCUGGGUUCAACAUGGUGAGACUCAGAAGCUCCCCCAGGUGUGCUGCUCCAACUCCCGGUGCCUUUCCCUGCCUGGUGGCCAACACCAAGCCCAGGACCAUUUCAAGGGACUAAUAACUGGUAGAGAUCCUGCAAAACUUUGGGCCAGCACAAUCCAACAGGAAGCUGAGACUGUGAGGAGGAAGCAGGAAGUUCCUUAAUCAGACAGUGCGGAGUGGACUAGACAGGAGCCGAGUGGUGGCAGAAAUGAAGGUAUAGAUGAAUGCCUGGCAGGCACUGAAGUGUGCUGAUUUGAUGUCCAUGGAUAGUGAGGCAUCUAGGACUGCUAAGAGCUAACACCUGUUCCGCUGCUCCCAACUGCAGGCCAGGUUCGAGUCUCUUCCUGGCCCUGGAGAGAGAACAGCAACUCCGUGAUCCUUGUGCUAGCUCUUAUCCACAUUCUGCCCAUGAGAAACCAGAAACUCAGAGGCAUCAGCUAAAUCCUCCAAGAUUUCUCUAUGGCCUGUGGCUGCAUUGUUGUUAGAAAGUGUUGUGUGAGUGUGUGUCUACGUGUGUAUGCAUGAGAGAGAAAGAGAGGCAGCAUGUGGCAUGAUGAGUGGGUGAGAGAGAUCAGGACUCAUGAGCCCUGGAUUCGGGGUCUGCUCUCUGAGGAAUCUCCAGGCUCCAACUAGGGCAGCAGGUGGGCUGUGCCAAUAGAGAUUUAGGGCAGGGUGAGUUCACACCCUGGUUCUGAGGGUCCAGGAGCCUCUCAGAUAAGGAUUUCCUAUUGACAACUGGAACAGU